rnacentral:rRNA from 1 species
ACUGGGGGUAGAGCACUGUUAAGGCUAGGGGGUCAUCCCGACUUACCAACCCUUUGCAAACUCCGAAUACCAGUAAGUACUAUCCGGGAGACACACGGCGGGUGCUAACGUCCGUCGUGGAGAGGGAAACAACCCAGACCGCCAGCUAAGGUCCCCAAUUAUAGCUAAGUGGGAAACGAUGUGGGAAGGCUUAGACAGCUAGGAUGUUGGCUUAGAAGCAGCCAUCAUUUAAAGAAAGCGUAAUAGCUCACUAGUCGAGUCGGCCUGCGCGGAAGAUGUAACGGGGCUAAGCUAUAAACCGAAGCUGCGGCAAUGAAGUUUACUUCAUUGGGUAGGGGAGCGUUCUGUAAGCCGUUGAAGGUGAGUUGUAAAGCUUGCUGGAGGUAUCAGAAGUGCGAAUGCUGACAUGAGUAACGAUAAAGGGGGUGAAAAACCUCCUCGCCGGAAGACCAAGGGUUCCUGUCCAACGUUAAUCGGGGCAGGGUAAGUCGACCCCUAAGGCGAGGUCGAAAGGCGUAGUCGAUGGGAAACGGGUUAAUAUUCCCGUACUUCUUACAAUUGCGAUGGGGGGACGGAGAAGGCUAGGUGGGCCUGGCGACGGUUGUCCAGGUUCAAGUGUGUAGGCUGAAGAGUUAGGUAAAUCCGGCUCUUCUUAAGGCUGAGACACGACGUCGAGCUACUACGGUAGUGAAGUCAUUGAUGCCAUGCUUCCAGGAAAAGCCUCUAAGCUUCAGAUUGUAAGGAAUCGUACCCCAAACCGACACAGGUGGUCGGGUAGAGAAUACCAAGGCGCUUGAGAGAACUCGGGUGAAGGAACUAGGCAAAAUGGUACCGUAACUUCGGGAGAAGGUACGCUCUCGACGGUGAAGUCCCUCGCGGAUGGAGCUAUUGAGAGUCGCAGAUACCAGGUGGCUGCAACUGUUUAUUAAAAACACAGCACUGUGCAA